rnacentral:rRNA from 1 species
CCUANGGGGGGCAGCAGUGGGGAAUAUUGCGCAAUGGACGAAAGUCUGACGCAGCAACGCCGCGUGAGUGAAGAAGGCCUUCGGGUUGUAAAGCUCUUUCGGCUGGGAAGAAGGGUGUAAAGGCGAAUAGUCUUUGCAUUUGAUGGUACCAGAAGAAGAAGCACCGGCAAACUUCGUGCCAGCAGCCGCGGUAAUACGAAGGGUGCGAGCGUUGUUCGGAAUUAUUGGGCGUAAAGGGUUCGUAGGCGGGAUUGUAAGUCAAGUGUGAAAUCCCCGAGCUUAACUCGGGAAGUGCAUUUGAAACUGUGAUUCUUGAGUCAUUGAGAGGGUGGUGGAAUUGUUGGUGUAGGAGUGACAUCCGUAGAGAUCAACAGGAACAUCAGAGGCGAAAGCGGCCACCUGGCAAUGUACUGACGCUGAGGAACGAAAGCGUGGGGAGCAAACAGGAUUAGAUACCCCGNUANUC